GAUGAACGUUGGCGGCAUGCUUAACACAUGCAAGUCGAACGAACUCCUUCGGGAGUGAGUGGCGAACGGGUGCGUAACACGUAGGAACUUGCCCAAAAGUGGGGGAUAACCAUUGGAAACGAUGGCUAAUACCGCAUGUGCUUGACUUCGGUCAAGUAAAGCAUUUGGAAGCGCUUUUGGAGGGGCUUGCGGCCUAUCAGGUAGUUGGUGGGGUAAUGGCCUACCAAGCCAAUGACGGGUAGCUGACCUGAGAGGGUGGUCAGCCACAGGGGAACUGAGACACGGUCCCC
rnacentral:rRNA from 1 species